CUACGUGCCAGCAGCCGCGGUAAUACGGAGGGUGCGAGCGUUAAUCGGAAUAACUGGGCGUAAAGGGCACGCAGGCGGUUAUUUAAGUGAGGUGUGAAAGCCCCGGGCUUAACCUGGGAAUUGCAUUUCAGACUGGGUAACUAGAGUACUUUAGGGAGGGGUAGAAUUCCACGUGUAGCGGUGAAAUGCGUAGAGAUGUGGAGGAAUACCGAAGGCGAAGGCAGCCCCUUGGGAAUGUACUGACGCUCAUGUGCGAAAGCGUGGGGAGCAAACAGGAUUAGAUACCCUGGUAGUCCACGCUGUAAACGCUGUCGAUUUGGGGAUUGAGCUUUAAGCUUGGUGCCCGUAGCUAACGUGAUAAAUCGACCGCCUGGGGAGUACGGCCGCAAGGUUAAAACUCAAAUGAAUUGACGGGGGCCCGCACAAGCGGUGGAGCAUGUGGUUUAAUUCGAUGCAACGCGAAGAACCUUACCUACUCUUGACAUCCAGA
rnacentral:rRNA from 1 species